UGUUUUGUUCUUUUUUUCAGAUCCCCUAAAAACAACUAAGUUAUUUUAAAAUCGUAGUUCAGCUAUACAGAUAUAUGUUGGUAGAUGAGAGAGAUGAGCGAAAUCACAAUGUCAAACUAGCUUAGGAUCUGAAUUGAAGUAAGGAACGUGCCACGCUGUCUUUGAUACGUACUUCUAUAACACAACCGUCACUACUGUACCGCUUAUAGUACAGGACAUUAUCUGUUUCAUCGGAUAGGCGGCAUCUGCGUCUCUUCAUAGUUUUUAAAACAUACAAAGAGUUAGCGGUGAUCAGGGAUUUUGGAACGGUACGCAUGCAAACGCUGAGCGAUGGUAAUUUCGUUUGCCAAUUGAGGUACGUGCUUUCUAUGGUGAACGCAACCGAUCGAUUCAGAAAAGCAUCCAACGAAUUGUUGAUCAUUGUUAUACAACCCCACCAGCACAGAGCACAAGUGACUAGCCAAAAUAAUCUGUGAUUCAAUAAGAGAAAAAUAAUUAUGUCCGCUAUUGUAUAUCAACACUUGAAAAAAAAUUCAACGUAGUGUACCUUUCAGUCCAAUGUAGACCAUCUUCGACUAUGUACCGAAGUCCAUGGACAUUAGAAUUACUUAAAUACCGUUUUAGAGUAAUCCAUGGUUUGGAAGUACGAGCCAUUGCUUCAAUGCGCGAAUGAUUUUUUUUAUCAUAACACAGAUAUUAUAAAGCGAAGCAUACACGCAAUUAGCGCAUCAAUUAUUCAUAAUAAAAACAUGUCUCGUACGUGACGAAUCAGUAUCCAUAGAUAUUAGCCGUGAUAGAUCGCAGUACGUAGCUUGUUUCCCGUCCUAACAGAAACACAGAUUUCGAAAUCAAUUGUAAAUACGUACAGCAUUUAAAAUGUUGUAAGGUUUUAUUGUAAUAUUCUACAAACUUUAGUCUAGACUUCCAUAAUCUAGACAUAGAUAAAAUCAACGAAAUUGUAGCGAAUUAGAAUUUAGGUCGAACAGUAUCUAAAAAUAAUAGAACCAGACUUCGUCUGUAUAAUAUAGCGCUGCAACUACUAUUUUCUCUAAUUACGUAUUAAACCUUUUUCUUUAUGCGAAAAAUUUUCUUUUUCAUAUAUAAAUAUCAGCAAUAAACUAUCUUGUUUAUAGUGCAUUUAAUACAUGCAUAGCAGCUUCUAAUUCUCGGCUAAGUUUGAUUUGGCAAAAUGAAAUAAUAUUUUCGAAAGCACAGCUUAGAUUAAGCGUAGCUAUAAGAAUUCACGAGGUACGUGUGGUACGUAAAACUAAAUUUUCGUACUACAGUUGACAUUUAUUCUGAAGUCUAUUUCUUCUUCA